rnacentral:rRNA from 1 species
UACGGAGGGUGCAAGCGUUAUCCGGAUUCACUGGGUUUAAAGGGUGUGUAGGCGGACUGUUAAGUCAGUGGUGAAAUCUCCGGGCUCAACCCGGAAACUGCCAUUGAUACUAUCAGUCUUGAAUUCUGUUGAGGUGGGCGGAAUACAUCAUGUAGCGGUGAAAUGCUUAGAUAUGAUGUAGAACACCGAUUGCGAAGGCAGCUCACUAAACAGCGAUUGACGCUGAGGCACGAAAGCGUGGGGAUCAAACAGG